UACGAAGGGGGCGAGCGUUGUUCGGAUUUACUGGGCGUAAAGGGCGCGCAGGCGGCGCAUCAAGUCAGGCGUGAAAGCCCCGGGCUUAACCUGGGAACUGCGUCUGGGACUGGUGGGCUAGAGAUCGGGAGAGGAGAGUGGAAUUCCCAGUGUAGAGGUGAAAUUCGUAGAUAUCAGGAGGAACACCAAUGGCGAAGGCAGCUCGCUGGGACGUGACUGACGCUGAGACGCGAAAGCGUGGGGAGCAAACAGG
rnacentral:rRNA from 1 species